GGGGUGGUUUCAGUGGCUCAAUGGUAGAACAUUUGCUUGGCAAUCAGAAGGUCCCAGGUUCAAUCCCUGGCAUCUCCA
rnacentral:tRNA from 1 species